rnacentral:lncRNA from 1 species
ACCUUCGAAACAUAAUAUAAUCUUGAAAAUCACACAUAAUGUCUUGCUGUGUUACUUUUAUAUAUUUAAAUCAUCUUGACAAAACAUGAAAUAGUUAUGCUUGAUCCUUUGCCCCUUAAUUUUGGAUAAGUAAACCCCAUCGGUGAAGAAGCAUUCCAGGAGGAGAAACUUUGCACUCAGCCAUUUUAGAGAAGCUGCAAGCACCUGCUGGCUGGAGGAGCUUAAAAAAGAUUCCCCCUAUUUGAUAAAUUAAUAUGGGAAUCCUUUAUGGGUGGGGGGAUUAGCUACUCCCGAUCUGCUAGUUUAGUUUUGCAGUUUCCAUCUCAAAAUUCGCGGGUUCUCAUUAAGCGUGGUUUGAAUCCUGUGGUGGGAGGGGGGUGUCAAAUGUUCUUUCUGGUCUAAUUUCUUCAGAAUAUUUUUGCAGCUAUUGAUUUCAAACCAAUGCAUGUUUAGUUAGUAAAAUCAUACAACAAAGCUGUGGAAGUGUCACUAUAUUUAUUUCCUGAUUAAUUUACAGAGCUCAUCACACAACACUUCCAACUGCUCCUCCCUGAUCAUGCUGGGCUCAAGUCUUCACUGAGUCAGACUGCUGACCUUCUCGCCAACAUAAGCAGGUGCAGGGGUUUAUUCAAAGUACAGAAUGAAGACCAUGCAGCAAUCCAGGAGGCAAUCGAGGACACCACGGUGGGAAUUUCCCUCCUAAUGGAAAGUGGCGAGGAAGAGGACAUUCUCAUGGUCCACAUCUCCCAGGCUGUGGUGGUCGACCCACCAAGUGUCAGAGUGGCAGCUGCCAAGGCUUUUUUGGCCUUAUUUACAGCACAAAUCUGAUUACCAUCCUCAUCUCAGAAACACCUUUGAGGUAAUCCAAAGAAAAACUCUAAUAGAGUUGUAAGGCAAAGUUGUGUCUAAGGUUUCAGGCUUAAAGAGCCGACUCUUUUAAUAAAAAAAUGACCUUUAAAAAGUUUUUCCUAAGAAGGGAUUCCAGCUGUUUGCUUUGGCUCUGUUAUCUUCUGUUUAAUAAAAGUAGCAAGCCCAAUUUAUAUUGAUUUGUACUUUUUGCUACACUGUAAACAUAUUUUUCAAGUUUAGAUAAUAAAAAAGUUAAAUCUGAAAUUUGUGUUCAGUGUCAUAUGUUCAUUGGACUGUAAUAAUGCACAAGAAAGUAUUUGCUUUAAAUAAUAAUCUGCAAUUGCAAUUUUAUUUUUCAAUUUAAAUUUUAUUAAAAUAAUUUAUAAAUUAAAA